GGCGUGGUUGCACAGUGGUUAGCACUGUCACCUCACAAUAGGUAGUUCCAGAUUCAACUCCUGGCAGGUCA